CUGUUUCCCACUUGCAGGGCCGGACUGGCCCACCGGGAUACUGGGAAAUUUCCCGGUGGGCCGUAAGGGGAGCUGGCUGUUCUGUCUCUGAUCCCCCGCCCUUGCGCGCUAGAAAGAGAACGGGAACGGGAAGAGAAAGGAACUUAGGAACUUUAAAAUCGCAAGUUAUACUUAGUUAAUAGAAUUUGAUCUCGUUAUUGUCAAUUUCACUUUCAC